UGCAAAUACCAUCCCUCUUAGUAAAUCUGGAGGACACGUUCCCAAACCAGUCACAUACAUGACGGUUAAACCCCACAUUUAGCCUCAGGAGGCCCUCAGCAGCCCCCACUCUCUCCUCCGCGCAGUUCCCUCUCUGGGACCCCCAGGAGACCCCACUCUCUCCUCUGUGCAGCCUUCUCUGGGACCCGCAGCAGCCCCUAGGCUGUGUCCUGUGCAGACCUCCUGCCUGGGCUCCAGGUCCUGUCACUCUGGGCAUCUGGUCUCUGCAGCACCAGCUCCCUUCCUGUUCCUGACCUAGAAUCUCACCCAGCCCCUGACCCCCAUGGUACAAACCUGGGAAAUUUGUUAUUCACUUGUAUCUUCACUUCCCUCAGGCACCGCUCUUCUUCACUUCCUGAUAUCCAAUAUUGAAAUUCUUUCUUUCUUUCUUUUUCUGUCUGGUGGUUCUAUACUUACAAGAAGGGUAUGUGUUUGAUCUCUUGCCCCAUCUCAUUGUGCAGCAGAAAAUACUAAUUAUUCAUGGAUGUCUGGAGAGAACAGAAAAGGGACAGAGGCUCCCAGCAGGGAAAAUAUAACACUGGAAAUAUGCAGGAAAUGCCACUGUUUCAGAGUUGAGAGUUUCAUCUGCUAACUUUUUCUUUGGGAGAACUCGACCAGAAUAAAUUGCUCUGCCCUUUUGCUGUCAGCCUGGCAGCUUCACCUCUGGGAUUUGGAAGGAACGCUCCUCACACUUUCAUAAAAUGGCCAGUUUGGGGUCUGCAGAUAUCUUUAGUGCUGCAGAUGCCCCAUGGAUUCUAGGGAGAAGCAGCCGUCAGAGGGAACAUGCAGUGCCGGCGUCGAAGAGGGUUAGUGAUCGUUACACUUGGGCCCGAGAGGAACCGAGUCGUCUUCCUGGAAUUCAUCUCACAAAACACAGCGUGGGAACGUGGCCAUAA
rnacentral:lncRNA from 1 species